rnacentral:rRNA from 1 species
AACGAACGCUGGCGGCAUGCCUAACACAUGCAAGUCGAACGAGACCUUCGGGUCUAGUGGCGCACGGGUGCGUAACGCGUGGGAACCUGCCUUUAGGUUCGGAAUAACUCAGAGAAAUUUGAGCUAAUACCGGAUAAUGUCUUCGGACCAAAGAUUUAUCGCCUUUAGAUGGGCCCGCGUUGGAUUAGCUAGUUGGUGGGGUAAAGGCCUACCAAGGCGACGAUCCAUAGCUGGUCUGAGAGGAUGAUCAGCCACACUGGGACUGAGACACGGCCCAGACUCCUACGGGAGGCAGCAGUGGGAAUAUUGGACAAUGGGCGAAAGCCUGAUCCAGCAAUGCCGCGUGAGUGAUGAGGCCUUAGGGUUGUAAAGCUCUUUUACUCGGGUACCGAGUAAAUGACGGUACCGAGAGAAUAA